UACGAAAGGUGCAAGCGUUGUUCGGAUUUACUGGGCGUAAAGAGAGUGUAGGUUGUUUAUUAAGUCGGAUGUGAAAUCCCGGGGCUCAACCUCGGAACUGCAUUCGAUACUGAUAGGCUAGAGUUUGGGAGGGGUAAGCGGAAUUCCGUGUGUAGCAGUGAAAUGCGUAGAUAUACGGAGGAACACCUGAGGCGAAGGCGGCUUACUGGACCAAAACUGGCACUGAGACUCGAAAGCGUGGGUAGCAAACAGGAUUAGAAACCCCUGUAGUCC
rnacentral:rRNA from 1 species